rnacentral:misc_RNA from 1 species
CCUGUUUACAUUUCCCCAUGUGUUACAUUUUUUCAUCAUCAUGUUGAGUCUCUGUACCAAUGUACCAUAUAAACGAGUGAUGAUACGUUCGAGGUAGAUUCUACUGAACAUACACGUAUUGGGACAUGAUAUAACAAUUGCUUCGAUUUGGAAACUGAUUUAGAAAGAUGGUUGACAAAAUUGGAGGUUAUGAGUUUUGGAGAACGACAUUGAGUGCUGCCAAGUAUGUUGUUGCCCCUAUGGUGGAUCAGAGUGAGCUGGCAUGGAGGAUGCUGAGUCGACGCUAUGGUGCUGAACUGUGCUACACACCAAUGCUGCAUUCCUCCGUGUUUAAUAGAGACCAGCGCUACAGGACAGAAGCCUUGCAAUCCUGUCCUGAGGACAAACCACUAAUAGUUCAGUUUUGUGCAAAUGACCCGGAGACAUUCCUGAAGGCAGCCCUGUUGGCGGAGGAUCACUGUGAUGCCAUUGACCUGAACCUAGGAUGUCCACAAGUCAUUGCUAAACGUGGACAUUAUGGCGCAUUUCUACAGGACGAAUGGGAACUCCUGGAGAAAAUGGUUAAACUGUGCCAUGAAAGACUGAAAGUGCCUAUCACCUGUAAAGUUAGAAUAUUUGAGAGUAUGGAGAAGACCAUCGAGUACGCUCAGAUGUUGGAGAAGGCAGGAUGUCAGAUACUUACCGUCCAUGGCAGAACAAAGGAGCAGAAAGGUCCAAAGACCGGAUUGGCUGACUGGCAAUACAUCAAAGCUGUCAGGGAUAAUGUGAAGAUUCCCGUGUUCGGUAAUGGUAACAUCCAGUACCUGUCUGAUGUCAAAAAGUGUCUGGAGGAGACGGGAGUGGAUGGCAUCAUGACCGCAGAGGGUAACCUACACAACCCAGCCCUGUUCCUCGGAAUAGAUCCCCCAAUCUGGAAGAUGGCGGAGGAGUACCUGGAACUGGUUGACAAAUAUCCAUGUCCUUUGUCCUAUGUCAGGGGACAUUUGUUUAAGCUCUUUCAUCAUGGUCUUGUUAUACACGAAGAUAUCAGGUUGAUGGUCGGUACAGGGAAGUCACUGGACAGUCUCAAGCUAGCUGUCCUCAGGAUGAAAGAGAGAUGCUUGAAGGACAUGGAGAAGUCCAAGACUUGUCCUGAAAUGUUUGAGUCCAAGCUUCCUCAUCCUUACUGGAUCUGCCAGCCGUAUGUUAGACCCAGUCCUGAAGAGGCAGAAGAGAAUCAGAAAAGGCGAGAGGCCACAAAGCGUCCGCUUGACCUUCAAAACAUUCCAGCAGACAUGGCCGGCAUGUCUAAAAACAAAAUAAAGAAAAAGAUAAAGAAUCCACACAAAAGUUUUGAUGGCACCAAGAAGGCUCAAUAUGAAAAGUGUGACAGUUGUCUUAACCCAAGGGGCAAGAAAUGUGCAUUUGGACGGUGUAAAAACUGCUGUAAAAAUAAGACUAGAACAGAGACGUUGGACUGUGUUGGACAUGGUAUUUACCUAAAGAGCAAGUUAGAGCUAAAGGAGCAGUGUGAUAACAAGAAAAAGGAGCUGGAUCUCCUGGAACAGAGACUGACAGGGGGGUCUCAAGUCGAGGAAGGUCACCAGAACCCUCGAGGUCAUGGGCAAGAUCAGGAAGUCAAGGCUGGUGAUAAUAACAAUGCUACUUCACAGGAUACACAAAAGGAAGCUACCGUUACAAGUGAUGGGACAGAAGCUACAGACAGUUCUACUGCCGUUACUUAGACUGGUGUAUAAUUAGAUACUUACAAUGUGUGUUCAAUAUCCAAUGUUAUAAACAUUGCGGUCGUCCAGACCAACCAGGAAAGAUUUUUAUAUUUGAUUGCCAAUUAUUUACUGGUGUCUGAGUAAUAUUGUUUUCAACGUCAGACACACAAUGCAUUGUACAUUGUAUAUGGGAAAGUAAACAGAUAGGAAGGAAGUGUUGAGAGAGAAAUAGGUGAAAAUAUAAAAAAAAUGGAAGGCUAAAUCAAAGUAAGAUACUGUAAGUUCACUAUGAGCAAGAAUUAGCAAAAGGACUGUUUUUAGUAAAUGUAUAUUAGUACAAUUAACUAAAAUCAAAGCUUCAUCAAGACAAUUUUACAAUGCUUUAGACACCACAAGUACUCAAAGGGAUGCUCCCUAUAUAUUGUGAAGAAAUGGACAAUGAGCUUUGGCCAGGGGCAGAUAAUCAAUUGUUAACAAUAAGUAAUUAUGAUGUCAUAGAUAUUAUGAUGUCAUCAAUAGUGGACAACAUCAGCGGCCAUUUUCACUGUUGUCGUUUGUUACGUUACUCGGCGUUAUGGAGAAUGCGCCGCCUACCAAAUAUUUUCAUUGGUUGAAAUUUCAUGAUCUCUGCCUACAAAUAUUCAUGAGGAUGUAGUCCUCUUUCUUGCGAGGAGUAGUCCUUAUUUUGCAAGGAGUAGUCAUAUUUUGGGUAGUGAGUAAUUCUCAGAUGGAGAGAUUUAUUAAACACGAGGCAGCUAGUGCUUGGCUUUACUUAACUUGCUUGGAUGGAAAGGCCAAGGUUAACUAAUGUUUUGUACCACGGCAUCUGUUAUCUGUCAGUAAACAACUGCUUCAAACAAAAGUAUACCUCUUCUAAAUCUGUGAUAAGAACUUCAGCAAAUUUUACUGAAAACAUCCUUAGAUAGUGGGGAUUCAGAAUUGUGCAAAGGAGGUCCCGAAAGGGUUAUGGGACGGGACCAAAAAUGGAGGAAUUGGAAAAUAUUGUUUGAAGUUUAAGAGUAUUAUCAAUUUAAAACGUGGUAUUGCCGUUAUAACUCUUAUGAAAUUUUAAGUCUUGCAUAUAAAUUUUACCUUGCAACGCAUUCUUUAGAAAAAUAGUUGCUCAUUGUUGUUCAAAAAACAUCUCUUCAGUGAAACUAUUCAUUGCUUUGGUACCCUAUAAUGUAAACAACUUCUACUCUGAAAAGAUGCAAUAAAUAAACCGCAACCCUCAAUGAUGCUCUAUGAAUGAAAAACCAACGAAAAAACUAAAUUGUGUAUAAAUGUUGAUUAUUAAGAGAAACACAUAGCAUCAUGCCAUGGCCUGAGUAUCUGAGCUCCUACUCCUUCCAAGGCCACACCAGGACUGGCUCUAUCUGGCACUAUCUGGUCAGUUCACAUGGUUUUCACAUCAAAGGCAGCCCAGGGAAUGGUCAGCGUAAUAAAAUAUUGUUAUUUGUUCCAGCCACAUCCGGACACUGUGGUAACUCAAUAUCACUAAUGUGGGGUGCUGUGUUUUAGGAAGCACUCCUGACCUUGAGCGGUCAGAUAUACACUGACCAGAUAUUUGACCUUGGGUAGUCAAACUCCCUAUUAAUUUCCCCCUGCCUAAGAAAACUUUUACAGUCUAAAAGUUAAUGAAAGAUAAUACUGCUCCAGAUACUCGGGCUAGAUACCUACAAUGUACACAAAUACAGCAUAAUGCUUAAUUAACCAUUAAGAUAAAACACUGAUCAUGUACGAAGUCCAGUAUAGACACAGUUUGUAUAUCAAUUGAUCCAGCUACUUAUAUAGAUAUUCCUCAGUGGUGGUGGUAAAUCCAAAAUAAAUACUUCCAGGGAAAAUAAUUUUCCUUAUCUUAUUUCCCUAACUUGUAAAUCCACAAUGUUUGCUUAUGUAAAAAAAAAAAAAGAAUACUUUCACUUUCCAUGUCCUUUUUUUAUAAGAAACACUUGUCAAUCUUUAGAACUGGUACAUCUCUUGCACUACAUAAAAUAUUAUAUUUUACUCUUCACAGUUUAUUUACUGUGUAACAUGAACUGUUCGUUGUUCAUAAACAUUCGUGGUUUUCGUGGUUGCUAUUGAACCACGAAAAUAAAUACAACAAAUUUGAAUGAUAUACGUGUCUACUAUUUGUAAAUAUAGGAUACCCACGAAAGUUUGUUCCACAAUACAAUCUAAAUAGCAUCAAACCACAAAGGAAAAUAUCCACGAACAAUUCGUGUUAUAAAGUACUACAAUGCAUAAUAUCUAUUCAACGCACGUUAUCUUGGCCACGACGAUACUCGAUGGUAUAAACUACUGGAGAGCAAGAGCCCACCUCAAAAGUUUCUGGUUCUUUUGUUCGGUUCUCUCCAGCCAUUUCAACGGGUUGUGGUCAGUUUGAAGGUGAACUUUACCCCACGUGCAUAAUAGGCAAACGAUUCCACACUCCACUUGAUGGUUACACAUUCCUUCUCUAGUGUAGAAUAGUUCUGUUCUCGUUGUAAUAACUUCCUGCUGAUGUAAGCAUUCGGGUGUUCCUCGCUGUUAAUAACCUGACUAAGGACAGCUCCAAUGGCUACAUUGCUGGCAUCAGUCUGUAUCGUGAACAGUUCACUGAAAUCUGGAUUCGCGAGUACUGGUGCUUUAGCUUUGGUCAUUGCGUCCUUUAGAUUAUUGAAUGCAGCCCUGCUACAUCUGUCCAACAAAGUUGUCUUGGAUGAUCCUUUUAACCAUCUUGGUCAAAGGUGCUGCCAACUUAGCGUAAUUGUUGACGAAACGACGGUAAUAUCCCAUCAUACCAGCGAAUGAUCUUAACCCUUUUUUCGUUUGGGGGAGAGGAAAGUUCACCUUAGCUUAGACCUUCCGUUUGUCUAGUCUGAGCUUUCCCUUUCCCUCUAUGUGCCCUAGACAGUACAGUUCCUCAUCACCAAAUUGACACUUUGAGGGUUUAACUGUAAGCCCACUGUCUCUAAGUCGGUCCAGGACAGCCUUGACAUGUAAUAGGUGAUCUUACCAUGUAUCACUAUAUUCUUUGUCCAUCAUCCAUGCGAAUGUCGUAGGUGCUUUUUUCAUCCAAAAAGGUAUUACCGUAAAUUGGUAUUGUCCAAAUUCUACCACAAAUGGGAACUUCUCUUGAGAAUCUUGCGAUAGAGGUAUCUGCCAAUAUCCUUUUCGCUAAAUCCAUGGUACUGAGGUAUUUUGCUGUGCCUAGCUUCUCAAAUAUCUCAUCUACCCAAGGUAUCGGAUACCCAUCACAAACAGUCACGUCAUUGAGGUUUCUAUAAUCCACACAGAGUCGUGGUAUCUUUCUUGUCCACCAAGACGAUCGGAGAUGAGUAAGGGCUUGAUGAUGGUGUGAUGUAACCAAGCUCCAACAUAUCAUCCAACAUUUUUUUCACUUCCUGUUUCUUAGCCUGUGGAAUUCUAUAAGGCUGCCUUCUGAUAGGUUUCUCACAUGUUAUCCUUAAGCUGUGUGUAACUAAUGUAGUCCUACCUGGGUUAGGAUUGAUGACGUCAUUGUAGUCCUCACAAAGCUGACGUACCUACUGACAUUGUGAUUUGUUCAAAGUCUUGCCAAUACACAACUAGGGUCAACCAAAUCCUCACGAAUCAAAGUUAUGGCUGAGCCUGUGUCUUUGAUAAAACAGAUACGUAUCACAGCCAUUGACUUCCCCCAGGAACAUGGAUAAGUCCUACCGUGUACUGACGCACAAAAAAUGCUGCAAGUUUUUUCCCAUAUUUGUUUUUAGGGCAUUUCCUAGCAAAAUGUUCAUACUUGUUACAGUUGUUAUACUGCACAUUUUUCAUCUGUUCCGAUGAUUUUUCCUUUCUCUGGUCUUUCUACCAGUUUGAAGUUUUUACAUCUAUCGAGAUUUCCAAUGAUGGAAGAUUACUAUGAAUUACUAUGAAUUAGAAACUUUCCCAUGCAUUGCUUCCUUGAAAUCCUCUCCGGUAUAAUAAAAUCCUCCGCGGCUUCAACAACACUACUUGACUACUUUAAUCUUCCUUAAAUAUUUCUGUGAUAUCCCUCGCUGAAUCAAUAAAUCUGACAAGAUAUUGUUCAAUUCUUGCCAUGAGUCCUCUGUAUGUCUCCUGUGGUUCCUUUUGUGCUGACUGCAGUUGUUUUGUUCCCAUACCUUACAAUCAGUGCUUUACUGAGUUACUCCAAGGAUCCAUGCGCUUGUAUGGCUACAGCCCUAGCCUCUCCUGUAAGCAAUGUUCUCAGAUGUAACAUUUUAACCUCAUCUGUUCACCCUGUUUGUGAUGAAAAUGCUGCUAACUCUGACAGAAAUGUUAUAAUAUCCUCGUUUGCUGUAUGAUUAUACGAUUGUAAUGUUAGUCUAAAUGGCACAGAGUUUGAUUUUGUGUCACUGAGUUUAUUUUGAAUCUUCGCUUUUCAAGUUCUAACUCAAGUACUCUAAGCUUCCUUUGAUGGUCACGUUCUUUCUCUUUGGCCUCCAUUUUCAUUUUUUUCUCUCUCAAGUUCGAUCAGUUCUCUUGCACGUGCCUCCGCCCUUUGACGUUCUUUCUCAUCGGCUUCCAUUUCAACUUUUCACUUUGGAUCUUUUCUCUAUCCUUUUCUGCUUGAAUUUCCAGCCUUUUGAUUUCCAGUUUUGAUUGAGAUGGCAUCAUCUCAACCUGUUUCUCCGAAUCUUCUUCAUUGGCCGACAUUUUAAUAUCUUCAAAUGAGCGCUAUCCUUUGAUAAUGGAGCCCUCCUCGAAUUGAUGAUCCCAAACCGCUGCCACCAAAUAUGUUACCCUCAAUAAUGCUUUAUCAAUGAAUAACUAAUGAAACAACUCAAUUGCGUAUAAAUGUUGAUUAUUAAGAGAAACACAUAUAACAUAGUAUGGCCCGAGUUUCUGAGCUCCUACUCCUUCCAAGGCCACACCAGGACAGAUUUUAUCUGGUCAGUUCACAUGGUUUUCACACGAACAUCAAAGGCAGCCCAGGGAAUGGUCAGCGUUAUAAAAUACUGUUAUUGCUCCAGCCACAUCCGGACCCUGUGGUAACUCUAUAUCAAUGGUGUGGGGUGCUGUGUUUUGGGAAGCUCUCCUGACCUAGGGUGGGUCAAACUCCCUAUUAACACUAAACCAGUGUUACAUGUGUAUGUUUAUCUAUAAAUAAAUUGGUUCACUUUCACCAGGUCCAGCUUGGUUCCAUCCGAGGUCAACAAAUGACCCAUGUAUUUCAUUUCGGUUUUUCGCAAGUUUAUUUUGUCUUUAUUUUACUUCAGGCCAACUUUCCUGGCUCUCUCUAAGACAUUUAUCAGGUUCCUAUCGCGGUCAUGUACUGCUUCCUCGAUUGUUGAACCACUACCAUAGAUGAGGAUGUCAUCUACUGUAACCUCUGCCCCCAUCAGGUCCUCUGGUGAUUCAUAUUUUUGUCUCUGAAACUCCUCUGGUGCCGACUUAACGCCAAAUGGCAUUCACAGACAUCUGUAGCGCCCAAAGGGUGUUCAAAAGGUAGUCAGGUAGCUGCUUUGUUUGUCUAAUGCCACCUGCCAAUAAACCAUCUUUGGCGUCCAAGACUGUAAAAACCUUGGCAUUGGACAGCUUAGGAAGUAUGUCCUCUACAGACUCAUGUGAUAGUGUGGCCGCAGCAAUUGCAUCAUUCAGGUUCUUAGGAUCUAUACAUAUGCACAGUUUUCCUGACAGUUUCCUCACUGCUACCAUGCUGCUUAUCCACUCCGUCGGCUCAGUGACCUUUGUGAUGACACCUCGGUCUACCAGUCUAUUUAUCUCUGUCUGGAGGUCCACUUUCAUGGCUUCAUGGACUUUCCCCGGACAGUUCUCUACUAGACUUACUGUUGGGUCAACCUCAACAUGAUACUCUCCAGGUAGCUUACCCAAUCCAUCAAAUAGGUCCUUGUAGUCCUCUAAGAUUUGCUCUUUGAUAAUGGGUGGUUUCUCAUUAGCCACUACGCAGUAAACUUGAUUGAUUGUUAGAGUCAAAAACUCACUCACCAUUAACUCACCGUUGUCGACGUCAUACCAUUAGUCUUUGACUACUACUGUCGCUUCUACUAAUGCUACUGGUACGGACUCCCGGUCUGCACCUCCAGCUCUGUAGCAUGCGGGGCUGUAUUUUCCUGGGUGAUGUUUCCACGCACAGUUCAGUCUUGAUUUGAACAAGUUUAAUGAUGGAGCGUUUAUUACGGUGGAGUCUAAAUUGUUCCACGGUUCGGUCACACGGUUGGAGAAGGCAUUUCCUCUUAGUUUAGUCCUAAAUCUUUUCUUGAAAAGUUUUUUGUUGUGUCCUCUGGUGUUGUUAACAUUCUGUCCGGCCGCGAAAGUUGUGAAUUUAUCCAUGUUGGCAUCUACAAGUCCAUUGCAUAUUUUAUAAAGGUUUAUCAUGUCUGCUCUUUCCCGUCUGUACUCUAAGGAAGGUAUUCCUAAAACUCGCAGACCCUCCUUAUAGUUUAGGUGUUUGAGAUGUGGCAACAACCUGGUGGCACGACGUUGAACAUUUUCUAGAGUCUUCUGGUCCAUUUUGUACAUUGGAAACCAGACUGAUGUGCAGUAUUCCAAGUGAGGUCUUACUAGAGACUUGUAUAGAUUUGCGAACAUUGCCUCGUCCAUGUAGGUAAAAGAUUUAAAUAUCAAUCCCACCAUUCUGUUGGCCUUCUUCGCUUGCGUGUUGACAUGGCCGGUAAAUUUUGAGUUGUUAUCAAAAUCAAUCCCCAAGUCCUUUUCGUGCUCCACCUUUGGUCCGAUACAGAUUGCCCAAGCUUGAUGUUCAUAUAUUUUCACUUUUCUAAAUUAAGUUUCAUUUGCCAAGUCUCAGUCCAGUGGCUUAUGUUAUUGAGAUCAUCCUGCAUGGAGUCAAUGCACUCGGGCGAUGUUAUAUCACCGAAAAUGUUCGCGUUGUCUGCAAAUAAUUUCGCUGUAUUGUUUGUCACAUCCGGUAGGUCGUUAACAUAUAUUAAAAACAAUAUCGGUUUCAGAACGCUACCCUGGGGCACUCCACUCGUAAAAAAAAGUCCCAAAGCUUCGCAUGCGCCUCUUGACAGUUUUGUUGGUUGGUCAACAUCUACCACUUGAAAUUCUAAAGUCUGUUGAUUGUCUCCAACUGAACACUCAAUCCCAGUUUUUACAUUUAGGGUAAAUGUGUGACUUGUCGUAAAGUGACAGUUUAGUAUCCGACAGACUCAGCUUCACCGUUUUCCUUUAUUUAAGAGCUUGAAUAUUAUCAUGCUGAGCAGGUUACAGGUUGCUCCUGUGUCCAGCUGACAUUUCACCUAUCUGUUCUUGUUUCCUAAUGUCAGCCUCAGUGUUGUGAAGUACUGUCUACCCUUUGUCUUUGUCACAUUCAGGAGUGUCUCUGUGAUCCUGAUUAAAGAUUCAUCAGUAUCGGUAUCAUCAUUCUCCUCUUCAACAGCGUGUAUUUUCUUCAUUAAACACAUUUUUGAGAAAUGGUUCUGUUUCUUACAGUUAUGACAGGUCUGAACAAAUGCUGGGCAUUUAUCUGGGGCAUGCUGACCUCCGCGAUAUUUGCGUCCUUUGUAACGUUUUCUCUCUCUCCAGCUCUUCUGACCAGAACCCUUACUCUUUAUGCUGUGUUUCGCUUUCUUUUUGUACAUCUUGUGUUUAUCCACCGGAUGCACUUUGUCUUCAUGGUUCAACUGUUUCAUCUGCAUGUUGGUCAUUUCGCUAGUCCUACACACAUUCACCACUUUUGCGAGUGUCAGUUCCGGCUCACGUAGCAUGCAGGUUCGGGCCGGUACAUCCUUAGUCCCUAGAACUAGUCGAUCCUGAAGCAUUUCGUCCUGGAGCACAAUUAGAGGCAGAACUGAAAGUGAAUCUAUCUAUUUAUAGAUCAACAUACACAUGUACUCUUAUUCACAAUGUUACUUUUAAUGUCAAAAUGUUUUGCUGUGAAUGCUUACAUCCAGAUUAGAGAUACAGUCCCUCUAGGCCUCUUGAUUUGAUCUCUAGCUAUCACUGAUAGUGUAUUACACAUUUAUUACACAUUUAUUACAUCGUACAUUCAUCAAAAUAAUAUAUCAAUUUCUAUGCAAUGUACUUAUGCUGUGUUUGAUGAACAUACCACAAUUUAUGUUCUACUGAUAUUUUUUUAAAAGCUGAAAGAAAUGUACAGUUGUAAAGAUUGAGCUUUUGUGCAUGAAAAUUUGUGUAUUUUGACUAUUCAAAUUACAUACAUUUGUAAUGAGGAAUUGUUUCUGUAUGUAUUGUUGUGGAUAUAUAUAAGGUAUAUAAGGUGUGUCCAUAUUAUAUCACAUCAAUGUGUUUACACUGAUAUAGUAUGCAAGAAAUUGACAAAAACAAAAUUCCAAAGCAUGAAAUCAUCUUUUUUUCUGUUGUAAUAAAUAUUUAAAAGAUAUCUAAAUAUCAGUAAUAAACUUAUUCAACUAUCAUCUACCGGGGUACAGCAAUUAAUUUCAGCUAUUCAAAUGCCUAGGAAAUGCUUCAAUCCGUUUUCUUGAAGUACUUUGUGUGUGAAGACAAUUUCGUAUUUGAUUAAGAUACAUGCAAAUUUUAUUAUUUUUCUUUGUACAACUUUAAAGCUUCGUCAAAUCACUGUGAUGACUUAAUUUCCAAUAAAC